UACGAAGGGGGCGAGCGUUGUUCGGAAUCACUGGGCGUAAAGGGCGCGUAGGCGGCCCUCUUAGUCGCGUGUGAAAGCCCCGGGCUCAACCUGGGAACGGCGCGCGAAACGGGAGGGCUGGAGUUCGGGAGAGGACAGUGGAAUUCCCAGUGUAGAGGUGAAAUUCGUAGAUAUUGGGAAGAACACCGGUGGCGAAGGCGGCUCUCUGGACCGAGACUGACGCUGAGGCGCGAAAGCGUGGGGAGCAAACAGG
rnacentral:rRNA from 1 species